rnacentral:piRNA from 1 species
UGGGAAACUAGUGUCUGACAUCAACAGG